ACGCUCGACACCUACGGGGGGCAGCAGUCGGGAAUAUUGCGCAAUGGAGGAAACUCUGACGCAGUGACGCCGCGUGCAGGAAGAAGGUUUUCGGAUUGUAAACUGCUUUAGACAGGGAAGAAAAAGGACAGUACCUGUAGAAUAAGCUCCGGCUAACUACGUGCCUGCAGCCGCGGUAAUCUGAGCGGGCUGGCAAGGC
rnacentral:rRNA from 1 species